AGGUGCGAUCAUACAACACUAAUGCAUCAGAUUCCAUCGGAAUUCUACGGUUAAGCGUGUUUGAGCGAGAGUAGUACUAGGAUGGUGACCGCAUGAAAAGUCCUUGUGUUGCACCUC
rnacentral:rRNA from 1 species